rnacentral:rRNA from 1 species
GACGAACGCUGGCGGCGUGCUUAACACAUGCAAGUCGAGCGGUAAGGCCCUUUCGGGGGUACGACGAGCGGCGAACGGGUGAGUAACACGUGGGUGACCUGCCCUCAGCUCUGGGAUAAGCCCGGGAAACUGGGUCUAAUACUGGAUAUGACUCCAUGACGCAUGUUGUGGGGUGGAAAGCCUUGUGCGGCUGGGGAUGGGCCCGCGGCCUAUCAGCUUGUUGGUGGGGUGAUGGCCUACCAAGGCGACGACGGGUAGCCGGCCUGAGAGGGCGACCGGCCACACUGGGACUGAGACACGGCCCAGACUCCUACGGGAGGCAGCAGUGGGGAAUCUCGCGCAAUGGGCGAAAGCCUGACGCAGCGACGCCGCGUGAGGGAUGACGGCCUCGG